AGUGAACGCUGGCGGUAGGCCUAACACAUGCAAGUCGAACGGCAGCACAGUAAGAGCUUGCUCUUACGGGUGGCGAGUGGCGGACGGGUGAGGAAUACAUCGGAAUCUACUUUUUCGUGGGGGAUAACGUAGGGAAACUUACGCUAAUACCGCAUACGACCUACGGGUGAAAGCAGGGGAUCUUCGGACCUUGCGCGAUUGAAUGAGCCGAUGUCGGAUUAGCUAGUUGGCGGGGUAAAGGCCCACCAAGGCGACGAUCCGUAGCUGGUCUGAGAGGAUGAUCAGCCACACUGGAACUGAGACACGGUCCAGACUCCUACGGGAGGCAGCAGUGGGGAAUAUUGGACAAUGGGCGCAAGCUUGAUCCAGCCAUACCGCGUGGGUGAAGAAGGCCUUCGGGUUGUAAAGCCCUUUUGUUGGGAAAGAAAAGCAGCAGGUUAAUACCCCGCUGUUCUGACGGGACCCAAAGAAUAAGCACCGGCUAACUUCGU
rnacentral:rRNA from 1 species